GACGAACGCUGGCGGCGUGCUUAACACAUGCAAGUCGAGCGGUAAGGCCCUUUGGGGUACACGAGCGGCGAACGGGUGAGUAACACGUGAGUAAUCUGCCUUUGGCUUGGGAAUAACUUCGGGAAAUCGGGGCUAAUGCCUGAUGUUUACUGUCUGCUGCAUGGUGGGUGGUGGAAAGAUUUUUUGGCCGAGGAGUGAGCUCGCGGUCUAUCAGC
rnacentral:rRNA from 1 species